UGGGAAUUUUUUCGCAAUGGGCGAAAACCUGACGGAGCAAGACCGCGUGGGGGAGGAAGGCCUUUGGGUUGUAAACCCCUUUUGUUAGGGAAGAAAAAAAUGACGGUACCUAAGGAAUCAGCCUCGGCUAACUCCGUGCCAGCAGCCGCGGUAAUACGGAGGAGGCAAGCGUUAUCCGGAAUUAUUGGGCGUAAAGCGUCCGUAGGUGGCCCGGCAAGUCUGCUGUCAAAGACCACAGCUCAACUGUGGAAAGGCAGUGGAAACUGCAAGGCUAGAGUGCGGUAGGGGUAGAGGGAAUUCCCAGUGUAGCGGUGAAAUGCGUAGAGAUUGGGAAGAACACCGGUGGCGAAAGCGCUCUACUGGGCCGCAACUGACAAUGAAGACGGAAUGCUCAAUUC
rnacentral:rRNA from 1 species